AUUGAAAUAUAAACCGGACAUAUUACCUAAUUAUGUUCACUACAUUUUAAGUUGCUUCUAUUGAAUUGAUACCUGAGUUGGAUCCGCCGUCACGAAGACGUUUUGUUAACGGACUACUGUGUAAACUGGGACUUAUUGGCACAGUACAGCAUUAGUACAAAUCUUGUUUGAGUCUUUUAUGCAUUUGGCUUUGAAGCGGAUUACGAGCCAUUUUGCACAUCUGAUUCAAUCUACUCUACACAGAAAUAAUCUACAUCUACAACUUGAUAAACAUAGAGACAUGCACUGAUGUUCAAUGAUUUCUCCCACCCGACUGUAAAAUGGGAACCGGGAAGUAAAAAUACAAACCCACCUCAGGUCGGAAUUAAAACAUCAAAUCGAUGGCUCGUCAGAAGGUAGAGUUUUGCGCUCUCCGCACUCUUUUUAUUUAUAGUUGCUGCUUAUCAGGAA